rnacentral:rRNA from 1 species
UUUAACAAAAACAUGUCCUUUUGUGAAAAAUUUAAGGUCGGGCCUGCCCACUGWCAUUAGCUGAAGGGCCGCGGUAUUUUGACCGUGCAAAGGUAGCAUAAUCAUUAGUCUUUUAAUUGAGGGCUGGAAUGAAUGGUUUGACGAAAUAUUAACUGUCUCUUUAUAAUAAUUGGAAUUUAACUUUUGAGUCAAAAGGCUUAGAUGAAUAUAAAAGACGAGAAGACCCUAUAGAUCUUUAUAUAAUUAAUGUAAUUAUUUAUUUAGCUGUAUUGAUUAUAGUUAUAAUAUUAUAUUUUGUUGGGGUGACAUGAAGAUAUAAAUAACUCUUUAUAAUGGAAACAUUGAUUUAUGAUUAUUUGAUCCGUUAUUGACGAUUAUAAGAUAAAGUUACCUUAGGGAUAACAGCGUAAUUUUUUUUGAGAGUUCUUAUCGACAAAAAAGAUUGCGACCUCGA